rnacentral:rRNA from 1 species
GUGCAGCAGUCGCGAAAACUCCGCAAUACGCGAAAGCGUGACGGGGCUACCCCGAGUGUCGGCCGCUGAGGACGACUUUUCCACGCUGUAAGGAGGCGUGGGAAUAAGGAGAGGGCAAGUCUGGUGUCAGCCGCCGCGGUAAUACCAGCUCUCCGAGUGGUAGGGAUGAUUAUUGGGCUUAAAGCGUCCGUAGCUGGCCUUUCAAGUCUCUUGUUAAAUCCAGCGAUUCAAUCGUUGGAUUGCGGGGGAUACUGCUCGGCUAGGGGGUGGGAGAGGCCAACGGUAUUCUCGGGGUAGGGGUGAAAUCCUAUAAUCCCGGGAGGACCACCAGUGGCGAAGGCUGUUGGCUAGAACACGCCCGACAGUGAGGGAUGAAAGCUGGGGGAGCGAACCGGAUUAGAUACCCCCGUAGUCC